rnacentral:rRNA from 1 species
GAUGAACGCUGGCUCAGGAUGAACGCUGGCGGUAUGCUUAACACAUGCAAGUCGAACGGAAUCUUUCGGGAUUCAGUGGCGGACGGGUGAGUAACGCGUAAGAAUCUACCUUCAGGUUGGGGACAACCACUGGAAACGGUGGCUAAUACCGAAUGUGCCGAGAGGUGAAAGGCUUGCUGCCUGAAGAAGAGCUUGCGUCUGAUUAGCUAGUUGGUGGGGUAAGAGCCUACCAAGGCGACGAUCAGUAGCUGGUCUGAGAGGAUGAUCAGCCACACUGGGACUGAGACACGGCCCAGACUCCUACGGGAGGCAGCAGUGGGGAAUUUUCCGCAAUGGGCGAAAGCCUGACGGAGCAAUACCGCGUGAGGGAGGAAGGCUCUUGGGUUGUAAACCUCUUUUCUCAGGGAAGAAAAAAAUGACGGUACCUGAGGAAUAAGCAUCGGCUAACUCCGUGCCAGCAGCCGCGGUAAUACGGAGGAUGCAAGCGUUAUCCGGAAUGAUUGGGCGUAAAGGGUCCGCAGGUGGCAUUGUAUGUCUGCUGUUAAAGAGUCUGGCUCAACCAGAUCAAAGCAGUGGAAACUACAAAGCUAGAGUAUGGUCGGGGCAGAGGGAAUUCCUGGUGUAGCGGUGAAAUGCGUAGAUAUCAGGAAGAACACCGGUGGCGAAGGCGCUCUGCUAGGCCAAAACUGACACUGAGGGACGAAAGCUAGGG